rnacentral:rRNA from 1 species
GAUGAACGCUGGCGGCGUGCCUAAUACAUGCAAGUCGAGCGAACGGACGAGAAGCUUGCUUCUCUGAUGUUAGCGGCGGACGGGUGAGUAACACGUGGAUAACCUACCUAUAAGACUGGGAUAACUUCGGGAAACCGGAGCUAAUACCGGAUAAUAUUUUGAACCGCAUGGUUCAAAAGUGAAAGACGGUCUUGCUGUCACUUAUAGAUGGAUCCGCGCUGCAUUAGCUAGUUGGUAAGGUAACGGCUUACCAAGGCAACGAUGCAUAGCCGACCUGAGAGGGUGAUCGGCCACACUGGAACUGAGACACGGUCCAGACUCCUACGGGAGGCAGCAGUAGGGAAUCUUCCGCAAUGGGCGAAAGCCUGACGGAGCAACGCCGCGUGAGUGAUGAAGGUCUUCGGAUCGUAAAACUCUGUUAUUAGGGAAGAACAUAUGUGUAAGUAACUGUGCACAUCUUGACGGUACCUAAUCAGAAAGCCACGGCUAACUACGUGCCAGCAGCCGCGGUAAUACGUAGGUGGGAAGCGUUAUCUGGAAUUAUUGGGCGUAAAGCGCGCGUAGGCGGUUUUUUAAGUCUGAUGUGAAAGCCCACGGCUCAACCGUGGAGGGUCAUUGGAAACUGGAAAACUUGAGUGCAGAAGAGGAAAGUGGAAUUCCAUGUGUAGCGGUGAAAUGCGCAGAGAUAUGGAGGAACACCAGUGGCGAAGGCGACUUUCUGGUCUGUAACUGACGCUGAUGUGCGAAAGCGUGGGGAUCAAACAGGAUUAGAUACCCUGGUAGUCCACGCCGUAAACGAUGAGUGCUAAGUGUUAGGGGGUUUCCGCCCCUUAGUGCUGCAGCUAACGCAUUAAGCACUCCGCCUGGGGAGUACGACCGCAAGGUUGAAACUCAAAGGAAUUGACGGGGACCCGCACAAGCGGUGGGGCAUGUGGUUUAAUUCGAAGCAACGCGAAGAACCUUACCAAAUCUUGACAUCCUUUGACAACUCUAGAGAUAGAGCUUUCCCCUUCGGGGGACAAAGUGACAGGUGGUGCAUGGUUGUCGUCAGCUCGUGUCGUGAGAUGUUGGGUUAAGUCCCGCAACGAGCGCAACCCUUAAGCUUAGUUGCCAUCAUUAAGUUGGGCACUCUAAGUUGACUGCCGGUGACAAACCGGAGGAAGGUGGGGAUGACGUCAAAUCAUCAUGCCCCUUAUGAUUUGGGCUACACACGUGCUACAAUGGACAAUACAAAGGGCAGCGAAACCGUGAGGUCAAGCAAAUCCCAUAAAGUUGUUCUCAGUUCGGAUUGUAGUCUGCAACUCGACUACAUGAAGCUGGAAUCGCUAGUAAUCGUAGAUCAGCAUGCUACGGUGAAUACGUUCCCGGGUCU